AAGUCGUAACAAGGUUUCCGUAGGUGAACCUGCGGAAGGAUCAUUAUUGAAGCUCGGAAUGCGUGUUCGGUGCUGAUGCUGCCCAGCGAUGGGAUGUGCUCGCUCGGAUGCGUGUCCCUUCUCUAUUCCACCCCUUUGUGAACCCAAGUGUGCGAGCCGAUGAGAGAUCGGAAGCUCGCAUGCAAACCCUUAACAUACCCCAAUGAAGUAUCAGAAUGUAACUUGCGUUAACUCGCACAAAUACAACUUUCAACAACGGAUCUCUUGGCUCUC
rnacentral:misc_RNA from 1 species